rnacentral:rRNA from 1 species
CUACGGGCCGCUGCAGUGAGGAAUAUUGCACAAUGGGGGGAACCCUGAUGCAGCAACGCCGCGUGGAGGAUGACGCAUUUCGGUGUGUAAACUCCUUUUAUAUGUCAAGAAAAUGACGGUAGCAUAUGAAUAAGCACCGGCUAACUCCGGCCAGCAGCCGCGGUAAUAGGGAGGGUGCAAGCGUUACUCGGAAUCACUGGGCGUAAAGGACGCGUAGGCGGGUUGGAAAGUCAGGUGUGAAAUCAUACAGCUUAACUGUAGAACUGCACUUGAAACUUCUAAUCUAGAGUAUGGGAGGGGGAGAUGGAAUUAGUGGUGUAGGGGUAAAAUCCGUAGAUAUCACUAGGAAUACCUAAAGCGAAGGCGAUCUCCUGGAACAUUACUGACGCUAAGGCGUGAAAGCGUGGGGAGCAAACAGGAUUAGAUACCCGGGUAGUC